rnacentral:rRNA from 1 species
UACGAAGGGGGGCUAGCGUUGCUCGGAAUCACUGGGCGUAAAGCGCACGUAGGCGGAUUGUUAAGUCAGGGGGUGAAAUCCUGGAGCUCAACUCCAGAACUGCCUUUGAUACUGGCGAUCUCGAGUCCGGGAGAGGUGAGUGGAACUGCGAGUGUAGAGGUGAAAUUCGUAGAUAUUCGCAAGAACACCAGUGGCGAAGGCGGCUCACUGGCCCGGUAUGACGCUGA